rnacentral:tRNA from 1 species
UAGUAUAAUUGGUAGUACAAAGGAUUUUGGGUCCUUGGGUGCAGGUUCAGGGCCUGUUUUUCUA